rnacentral:lncRNA from 1 species
GCGGGCGCGAGCUGGCGACUCAUUUGUGUUUCCUCGAGCCAUUUCAACUGUGGUAGAUGCUCCAAUUGUCCGACGCGGAUCGCAGAUCGCCGAAGCGCCACGACGACUUUCGGAAAAGAAUGGAGGACUACCUGGAGAGGAAAUCGAGCAAGACGAGCUGUAACAAUGACUUCAUGAGAACAACGGUCCAAUUGUGUGUCGUCGCCCCCCCGGCUCCCGGGAUCAGAUUUUUGCAGAAACCCGUGGUCCUUCUUAUUCCCACCACUCACCGCGACACGAAGUCUGACCCCCGCAAACGUGCCAUUGAUCAACGGAGCCCGAGGCGACAGCGGCACCAGGUUCCGCGGCAGAGGAGAACUCUCAGCGCGUUUGGAUGAAGACAAAUCUGUUCCGACGUAAUUCAAACACAUACUCUGUCUUUCUGUUUCUUUUCUUAAGUCUCAGGCUCCAACACAUUUUUCUUAAACACGGCUCUGCACAAACACUAACGAGGCCCUGCUCACGCACAGAGGUUAUCUGAGCUAAAUGCUAUCGUGUUAGCAUGCUCACAUGUCGACGAUGACAAUGAUAAAAUGCCAAAAAUGUAGCACGUAUAAUGUUUACUGUGUUCAUUAUCUUGAUUUAUGAUAGCAUGCUAACAUUUGGUUAGCAUUAACUAUCCAGACCACAACAUUACUGUUGGUUCACGCCCACAGUGCUAUUUUUAGCCAUAGUCGGCCAUCUUUUUUUCUCCUGAAAAAGCUAUAACACCCCACAGCACUCUACCCUCACCCUGAUGGCAGACAGACACCGUUAGUUGUCUAGCACGUUGUAGCAUUUAGCAGGCAAAGAGACAAAUAUGUCCUCAGGAGUUGGUUCGCCAGGCUCCGCCCAGGUCAAAAUCUUAUUUGACAAGGCUAAAGACACGUCGG